GGCGGAUGUAGCUCAGUUGGCUAGAGCGCCACCUUGCCAAGGUGGAGGUCGCGAGUUCGAAUCUCGUCAUCCGCUCCAC
rnacentral:tRNA from 1 species